rnacentral:rRNA from 1 species
GACGAACCGUGCGAACGUUGUUCGGAAUCACUGGGCUUAAAGGGCGCGUAGGCGGGCUGGCAAGUCAGGGGUGAAAGCCCACGGCUCAACCGUGGAAGUGCCUCUGAUACUGCCGGCCUGGAGGGAGGUAGGGGCGUGCGGAACUUCCGGUGGAGCGGUGAAAUGCGUUGAGAUCGGAAGGAACGCCCGUGGCGAAAGCGAGGCCCUGGACCCUUUCUGACGCUGAGACGCGAAAGCCAGGGGAGCGAACGGG